GGAUGUUGGCUUAGAAGCAGCCAUCAUUUAAAGAAAGCGUAAUAGCUCACUGGUCAAGUCGGCUUGCGCGGAAGAUUUAACGGGGCUAAAAUUAUGCACCGAAGCUGCGGCAGUAAAAAUUUUAUUUUUGCUGGGUAGGGGAGCGUUCUGUAAGCUAAUGAAGAUGUAUUGUAAAGUACAUUGGAGGUAUCAGAAGUGCGAAUGCUGACAUGAGUAACGAUAAAGCAGGUGAAAAACCUGCUCGCCGAAAAACUAAGGUUUCCUGUCCAACGUUAAUCGGGGCAGGGUAAGCCGAUCCCUAAGGCGAGGCUGAAAAGCGUAGUCGAUGGAAAACAGGUUAAUAUUCCUGUGCUUAAUAUUACUGCGAAGGGGGGACGAAGAAGGUUAGGUUAUCCAGGUGACGGUAAUCCUGGUUUAAGUGUGUAGAGUAAAUAAUUA
rnacentral:rRNA from 1 species